UACAGAGGUCUCAAGCGUUGUUCGGAUUCAUUGGGCGUAAAGGGUGCGUAGGCGGCGCUGUCAGUCGGGUGUGAAAUCCCAGGGCUCAACCCUGGAACUGCGCCCGAUACUGCAGUGCUUGAGGGAGACAGAGGUAAGCGGAACUGAUGGUGGAGCGGUGAAAUGCGUUGAUAUCAUCAGGAACACCAGUGGCGAAAGCGGCUUACUGGGUCUCUUCUGACGCUGAGGUACGAAAGCCAGGGGAGCGAAGGGG
rnacentral:rRNA from 1 species